rnacentral:rRNA from 1 species
UACGUAGGGGGCGAGCGUUGUCCGGAUUUAUUGGGCGUAACGAGCUCGUAGGCGGUUUGGCAAGUCGGGUGUGAAAACUCCGGGCUCAACUCAGAGACGCCACUCGAUACUGCUAUGACUCGAGUCCGGUAGGGGAGUGCGGAAUUCCUGGUGUAGCGGUGAAAUGCGCAGAUAUCAGGAGGAACACCGGUGGCGAAGGCGGCACUCUGGGCCGGUACUGACGCUGAGGAGCGAAAGCGUGGGGAGCGAACAGG